AACUUUUGGCAAUGGAUCUCUUGGCUCUCGCAUCGAUGAAGAACGCAGCGAAAUGCGAUAAGUAAUGUGAAUUGCAGAUUUUCAGUGAAUCAUCCAAUCUUUGAACGCACCUUGCGCUCCUUGGUAUUCCGAGGAGCAUGCCUGUUUGAGGGUCAUCAAAUUCUCAACUCCAAGGGUUUCACGACCUUGUGGAGAUUGGACUUGGAGGUGCCUGUCGACUAUAUGGUCAUCUCCUCUCAAUUGCAUCAGCGGCAUCGACCCUUUGGCCUCCGGCCGUCAGUGUCAUAAUGAUGGUGCGCUCGUGAUUGUCUGCUGAGCGACCUUCAGUGAUGGAGGUUUGCUGGAGCUUACAAAUGUCUUUCCUCAGCGAAGACAGCGUUUCGAACGUUAGAUCUAAAAUCAGGUAGGACUACCCGCUGAACUUAAGCAUAUCAAUAAGCGGAGGCU
rnacentral:misc_RNA from 1 species